rnacentral:rRNA from 1 species
UACGUAGGGUGCGAGCGUUACUCGGAAUUACUGGGCGUAAAGCGUGCGCAGGCGGUUCGUUGUGUCGGCGGUGAAAGCCCCGGGCUUAACCUGGGAAUGGCCGUUGAAACUGGCGAACUGGAGUGUGGCAGAGGGGGGUGGAAUUCCGCGUGUAGCAGUGAAAUGCGUAGAGAUCCGGAAGAACACCAAGGCGAAGGCAGUGUCCUGGCUCGUUUCUGACGCUCAAGCACGAAAGCUAGGGGAGCGAACAGG